rnacentral:rRNA from 1 species
UACGAAGGUCCCAAGCGUUGUUCGGAAUCACUGGGCGUAAAGGGUGCGUAGGUGGCGCCGUAAGUCAGGUGUGAAAUCUCGGGGCUCAACCCCGAAACUGCACUUGAUACUGCGGUGCUCGAGUACUGGAGAGGAGAUUGGAAUUUACGGUGUAGCAGUGAAAUGCGUAGAUAUCGUAAGGAAGACCAGUGGCGAAGGCGAAUCUCUGGACAGUUACUGACACUGAGGCACGAAGGCCAGGGGAGCAAACGGG